UUCGCAAUGCCCGAAAGGGUGACGAAGCGACGCCGCGUGCGGGAAGAAGGCCUUCGGGUUGUAAACCGCUGUCGGGAGUUAAGAAAUGUAAGGAUGUUAAUAGCGUCUUUACUUGACUAAGGCUCCGGAGGAAGCCACGGCUAACUCUGUGCCAGCAGCCGCGGUAAUACAGAGGCGGCAAGCGUUGUUCGGAAUUAUUGGGCGUAAAGAGCACGUAGGCGGCUAUGUAAGUCGGUUGUGAAAGCCUUCCGCUCAACGGGAGAACAGCAUCCGAUACUGCAUGGCUUGAGUGUGGGAGGGGAGAGUGGAACUUCUGGUGGAGCGGUGAAAUGCGUAGAUAUCAGAAGGAACGCCGGCGGCGAAAGCGGCUCUCUGGCCCAUAACUGACGCUGAGUGUGCGAAAGCUAGGGGAGCAAACGGGAUUAGAUACCCCGGUAGUCCUAGCCGUAAACGAUGGGCACUAAGUAGAGGGGUUUUA
rnacentral:rRNA from 1 species